GACGAACGCUGGCGGCGUGCUUAACACAUGCAAGUCGAACGAAGUGGCGAACGGGUGAGUAACGCGUAAUCAACCUGCCCUUCAGAGGGGGACAACAGUUGGAAACGACUGCUAAUACCGCAUACUGAAGGAGGGGAUUGCGUCGGAUUAGCUAGUUGGAGGGGUAACGGCCCACCAAGGCGAGGAUAAGUAGCCGGGCUGGGAGGAUGGACCGCCACAUUGGGACUGAGACACGGCCCAGACUCCCACGGGAGGGAGCAGUGGGGAAUCUUCCGACAUGGACGAAAGUCUGACGGAGCAACGCCGCGUUAGUGAUGACGGCCUUCGGGGUGUAAAGCUCUGUUAAUCGGGACGCGGUACCGGAAGAGAAAGCCACGGCUAACUACGUGCCAGCAGCCGCGGUAAUUC
rnacentral:rRNA from 1 species